GUUAAUAAACCAGUGUCAAGUAUUCCGUGUGUCUUACGACAUUCUAGUACACUUCUUAUUUUUGAUAAAUAAUGGGUAAGCACAUAGACUGUUCUUAAAUGGCCGGCAUAUCCCCUAUGUGGGAGGGAUCAUCGCCAUUUCCCAUAAGCUCUGUUCAAACAACAGCUGUUCAUCGGAGAUAUUACGCUGUACUUCUUCCACCACAGCACCCGAGAUGGACAGCGUUCGAGACCGAGAUGGUAGCCUCUUCCCACCAACCACUUGAACUGAAAGAUUUCGAAAUUUAUUGUUUUCAUAGUCCAACCAUAAGUCCAGAACGUGCUGCUUUGUGAGACUAUUCUACGUUUGUAUUUGCUCUUCCUUUCGAUUAAAGAGGUACCCAGUGGCUACGAUCUCACUCCGAUUCCGCAUUACGUCUUCGUCCAAGCUGGGGUCGCGUAGUCGAUGUCGAGUCGAGUCCACAAUCAACUCUACCGGAUCCAUCAGGAACUCCACUGAGAUCAUCUGGUCCAAUUUGCUACUAGUGUCCAGUGAGAAUGGAUUAUCUGAUUUUUGGCUAUUGUAAGUGGAAAGGACUUGUUGCAUUGUCUCACGCGCUUUUUCUUGAGUAAAGCUUCCCUGUAUGAGUCCUUGGGCGUACAAUUUCUUGUGCUCGAUGUCAUCCUCGGGUCUAUUAUCGAUUGAUUCAUAUUUCUCUAGCAUACCAAAUCGUCUAUUCUCUAAGAUCAUUAAACACAGUUCAAGUUUUAAAAUCUUUCCACCUAUGGAUGCCUGGAAAAAACUAGGCCACAAACUAAGCUCUGUCUCCUGCCUGAGGAAAUGUUGGAACAAGCUCGAUGAGAAAUACUACUUCAGACGAUAUGACUCUCUAUUUUAAUAUGUGCAUUGAAAGAAAUAUUUUACUUAGUAAGUGUACUGAAUGAUUUUAAUGAAUAUGAUUUGUUUCGUUAUUUUUAUCAGAUCAUUAUGCAUACAAUAAACGUAAUAUAUAAAAGUUAUCUCUCUUGCACUCAAUUAAGUUAUACGUAAUGUAGAA
rnacentral:sRNA from 1 species